rnacentral:miRNA from 1 species
AGGCAGUGUGCUGUUAGCGGCUGCU